AGUGAACGCUGGCGGUAGGCCUAACACAUGCAAGUCGAACGGCGGCACAGUAAGAGCUUGCUCUUACGGGUGGCGAGUGGCGGACGGGUGAGGAAUACAUCGGAAUCUACUUUUUCGUGGGGGAUAACGUAGGGAAACUUACGCUAAUACCGCAUACGACCUACGGGGGAAAGCAGGGGAUCUUCGGACCUUGCGCGAUUGAAUUAGCCGAUGUCGGAUUAGCUAGUUGGCGGGGUAAAGGCCCACCAAGGCGACGAUCCGUAGCUGGUCUGAGAGGAUGAUCAGCCACACUGGAACUGAGACACGGUCCAGACUCCUACGGGAGGCAGCAGUGGGGAAUAUUGGACAAUGGGCGCAAGCCUGAUCCAGCCAUACCGCGUGGGUGAAGAAGGCCUUCGGGUUGUAAAGACCUUUUGUUGGGAAAGAAAAGCAGCAGGUUAAUACCCCGCUGUUCUGACGGUACCCAAAGAAUAAGCACCGGCUAACUUCGUG
rnacentral:rRNA from 1 species